CCUACGGUGGGCAGCAGUCGAGAAUCAUUCACAAUGGGGGAAACCCUGAUGGUGCGACGCCGCGUGGGGGAAUGAAGGUCUUCGGAUUGUAAACCCCUGUCAUGUGGGAGCAAAUUAAAAAGAUAGUACCCCAAGAGGAAGAGACUGCUAACUCUGUGCCAGCAGCCGCGGUAAUACAGAGGUCUCAAGCGUUGUUCGGAAUCACUGGGCGUAAAGCGUGCGUAGGCUGUUUCGUAAGUCGUGUGUGAAAGGCGCGGGCUCGACCCGCGGACGGCUCAUGAUACUGCGAGACUAGAUGAAGGGAGGUGGGACCGGAAUUCUCGGUGUAGCAGUGAAAUGCGUAGAUAUCGAGAGGAACACUCGUGG
rnacentral:rRNA from 1 species